rnacentral:rRNA from 1 species
AGUGAACGCUGGCGGUAGGCCUAACACAUGCAAGUCGAACGGCAGCACAGUAAGAGCUUGCUCUUACGGGUGGCGAGUGGCGGACGGGUGAGGAAUACAUCGGAAUCUACUUUUUCGUGGGGGAUAACGUAGGGAAACUUACUCUAAUACCGCAUACGACCUACGGGUGAAAGCAGGGGAUCUUCUGACCUUGCGCGAUUGAAUGAGCCGAUGUCGGAUUAGCUAGUUGGCGGGGUAAAGGCCCACCAAGGCGACGAUCCGUAGCUGGUCUGAGAGGAUGAUCAGCCACACUGGAACUGGGACGCGGUCCAGAGUCCUACGGGAGGCCGCAGUGGGGAAUAUUGGACAAUGGGCGCAAGCCUGAUACAGCCAUACCGCGUGGGUGAAGAAGGCCUUCGGGUUGUAAAGCCCUUUUGUUGGGAAAGAACAGCAGCAGGUUAAUACCCCGCUGUUCUGACGGUACCCAAAGAAUAAGCACCGGCUAACUUCGUG